rnacentral:rRNA from 2 species
AACGAACUCUGGUAUUGAUUGGUGCUUGCAUCAUGAUUUACAUUUGAGUGAGUGGCGAACUGGUGAGUAACACGUGGGAAACCUGCCCAGAAGCGGGGGAUAACACCUGGAAACAGAUGCUAAUACCGCAUAACAACUUGGACCGCAUGGUCCGAGUUUGAAAGAUGGCUUCGGCUAUCACUUUUGGAUGGUCCCGCGGCGUAUUAGCUAGAUGGUGGGGUAACGGCUCACCAUGGCAAUGAUACGUAGCCGACCUGAGAGGGUAAUCGGCCACAUUGGGACUGAGACACGGCCCAAACUCCUACGGGAGGCAGCAGUAGGGAAUCUUCCACAAUGGACGAAAGUCUGAUGGAGCAACGCCGCGUGAGUGAAGAAGGGUUUCGGCUCGUAAAACUCUGUUGUUAAAGAAGAACAUAUCUGAGAGUAACUGUUCAGGUAUUGACGGUAUUUAACCAGAAAGCCACGGCUAACUACGUGCCAGCAGCCGCGGUAAUACGUAGGUGGCAAGCGUUGUCCGGAUUUAUUGGGCGUAAAGCGAGCGCAGGCGGUUUUUUAAGUCUGAUGUGAAAG